GACGAACGCUGGCGGCGUGGAUUAGGCAUGCAAGUCGAACGGUAUCAUCCUUUCGGGGGUGAGAGAGUGGCGAACUGGUGAGUAACACGUAGGUUAUCUACCUCAAGACGGGGACAACCCAGGGAAACUUGGGCUAAUACCGGAUGUGAGCAACUUUUAGUUGUUUGAAAGGUGGCGUAAGCUGUCGCUUGGGGAUGAGCCUGCGUCCUAUUAGUUAGUUGGUGAGGUAACGGCUCACCUAGGCAAUGAUAGGUAGGCGGCCUUAACGGGUGGUCGCCCACACUGGGACUGAGACACGGCCCAGACUCCUACGGGAGGCAGCAGUGGGGAAUUUUGGACAAUGGGGGCAACCCUGAUCCAGCCAUGCCGCGUGAGUGAAGAAGGCCUUCGGGUUGUAAAGCUCUUUCAGACGGAAAGAAAACGCAUCGGUGAAUACCCGGUGUGGAUGACGGUACCGUAAGAAGAAGCACCGGCUAACUACGUG
rnacentral:rRNA from 1 species